AUUGAACGCUGGCGGCAUGCCUAACACAUGCAAGUCGAACGGCAGCACAGUGAGGCCUGCCUCUUGGGUGGGGCGUGGCGCACGGGGGAGUAAUAUACCGGAACGUCCAGAGUAAUGGGGGAUAACUCGUCGAGAGACUAACUAUAACAGCACAUUCUCCGUGCGGGUGAGAGCGGGGCCUUUGCGGCUCUCGCGCGUCGGGCGGCGCCGAUGUCGGUUUAGCUAGUUGGGGGGGUAAAGGCCUACCAAGGCGACGAUCAGUAGCGGGUCUGAGAGGAUGAUCCGCCACACUGGGACUGAGACACGGCCCAGACUCCUACGGGAGGCAGCAGUGGGGAAUAUUGGACAAUGGGCGCAAGCCUGAUCCAGCCAUGCCGCGUGGGUGAAGAAGGCCUUCGGGUUGUAAAGCACUUUUGUCAGGGAAGAAAAGGAUGUUGCUAAUACCGACAGGUGAUGACGGUACCUGAAGAAUAAGCACCGGCUAACUACGUG
rnacentral:rRNA from 1 species